UAAGCUGCAACAGAACAACUCUGAUUUAAUCAACUUUAUUGUGGACUUAAAUGGGCAUAUGUCACGCUGGGUAUGAUCACUCUGUGGUAUGAUGCUCUCUUUUCUGUGACGUCAAUCGAGAGUCCUCCUGAGGAUUGAUGCCAUUGAUUAGUGAUUUCAUGGAUGAGUUCAAUCAGGAAUGUUGUCGAAACAGCGCUUAUGUUCGGUAGCCUUUGUUCCAACGCUCGACAACGCUAAUGUACGGAACAAUCGGGGACGGAUUGAGCGGGGGGUGUAUAGGAUAACAUCAAGAUUUAACUUGUCUGAGAAAAGUGCCAAUAUUCAAUAGAAUUAGUACCUUAGGGGAGAGACUUUAUAUUGCAGACAACAUCAAGGCGUUUUUAGAGACUGCAAGCAAAUGACUGCAUAAUAAUUAUUCUGAAAUGUAUUUUAAGCUUAUCUCAAGGGCGUCGUCGCAAAAAUUUUCCCUCCUCUAUACCUCCUCUAUAGCUCUAGAGAAUGUUCAACAAUGUCCCUUCGUUUUAGGGUUUAUAUAGAGAAGUCCUUCACGUUCUUUAGAUAUAACCGAUAAACUAAAAUGCCCAAGUCAUAAAAGGCAUUUGGGGGCAGAUUUAAGUAAGGGUCAGAGUUCUAUCUUUUUCAGCGUUUUUCAGCGUUUCCCUGGAAGAGCAGCUGCUAUAAGAUCGAUUACUGUGCAUAAUUUAACUUUAACUGUAGAUAAAUUAUAUUAAUGUAACUAGGGUAUUUAUUUUUUUAUUUGGUAUUUAGUUAUAAGCUGAAGGAAUUUUUGUGUAUAAAGAAUAUAAAAUGAAAACUGAAAAUGAAAAUGAAACUUGUUAGCUGUACGAUUUUUCAUACUGGAAUCAAAAUCUGCAUGGUUGAGCCUGUUUUGUGAUUUUAGAGCCUCCACUAUAAAAACAACGACGAAACCAAAACAGAAAGUUUAAAUUUCUGUUUUCAUUGACAAAUUAUAAUGAUGACGAUGAUAAUGAGGUUGCUUUUAGCCGGAGCUGAUUUACAAGGGGCCUUCCGUAUAAAAACUCUAACUACAUUCAAAUAUAUAAAAAUCAAAUUAAAUACAAUAUUAAGUAAGUAAAAUUUCUAAAAAGCUUACAAUAAUAUUAAUAAUUAUAAAAUGAAUUAUAAAGUAAGGAAAGUCGUAAGCUCUCUACAUAACACUCAAGCCAAUAAACGAUUUACCGAUUACUAGCGCCAUUAUGAAAUGAGGGAAAAUUUCACUCGCCCCAAGCUCCUGAAUAAAAACAAAAAUUUACCAAUUUUCAACCCUCCGAUUUUACACCAAAACAAAGCUACUUUUACCUAAAUUCUAGUGCAAAGUAAUAUUUAAUCACUAAAGUAUGUAAUAAAUACUUACUUACAACGAUUUAUUUUGUUUUUUGGUCUUCCACUGCCAUAAUUGACGACGAGGUACAAACAUCCUAAAUUCAUGGUGUUCCCUUUGAUCGGGAAUAUUUUUUGGCCACGUAGGCCCAGAACGUCCAGAAAACGUUUAAAUGAAUCCUCUUGAGUUUGCCUCUCAGUCAAUAUACCUCUAUUAGAAAUAGGCAUCAGAUUGGCUGAAAUACAGAAUGCCAAAGAUAUCCCCUUUUUGAUCAGCUGACUCGAGUAAAUGCGUCAUUGAAGGCGUGUUUUCCCCGUGAGUGCGUGACUCAAAGUUCUCUAAAUACGCUAUUCUAUGCAAAAGAAUGUGUGGAAGAAAGCUUCCUUUUCCGUUGUAUUUCCAAUAAAAUAUUUUAAGUGGGUGUAUUGGGUAUUAUGAUAUUUUUACUUUAAAUUAUCUUGCUUUGCUCUAUGAAGAUUUAUACUGAGUUUUGCAAAAGUACGUAUUACAAACAUCAACAUGAGUAAGAGAAAGGAGAUUUGUUGUAUUGGAAGCUGCAAUAAUAAGUCUUGGCUUUCAGAUAAAUGGUGUGUGAGGGGCCACGUUGAAAAUUUGAAAUUUCAUGCUUUUCCAAAAGAUUCGAAUAAAUUUCACCAAUGGGAAAAUGCAGUUGCAAAGGGCCGCGUGUACUACAAGAUUGAAUUUCUGUUUCAGUCAGCUGACAAGGGAAUCUGACGUUCGAUUUUAUACUGGCUUUAAAUCGGCAAAAUUGUUUCAAGGCAUUUUUGAGCAUCUUCAGCCAAUUGCCUCGCAAAUGAGCUACUGGAGCCCAUUCAGUCCUUUUCUCAGUAUAAAUCUUCAUAGAGCAAAGCAAGAUAAUUUAAAGUAAAAAUAUCAUAAUACCCAAUACACCCACUUAAAAUAUUUUAUUGGAAAUACAACGGAAAAGGAAACUUUCUUCCACACAUUCUUUUGCAUAGAAUAGCGUAUUUAGAGAACUUUGAGUCACGCACUCACGGGGAGAACACGCCUUCAAUGACGCAUUUACUCGAGUCAGCUGAUCAAAAAGGGGACAUCUUUGGCAUUCUGUAUUUCAGCCAAUCUGAUGCCUAUUUCUAAUAGAGGUAUAUUGACUGAGAGGCAAACUCAAGAGAAUUCAUUUAAACGUUUUCUGGACGUUCUGGGCCUACGUGGCCAAAAAAUAUUCCCGAUCAAAGGGAACACCAUGAAUUUAGGAUGUUUGUACCUUGUCGUCAAUUAUGGCAGUGGAAGACCAAAAUACAAAAUAAAUCGUUGUAAGUGCAAGGCCCCUUUAAGCUACCAUAAUCACGGGGCCUGGGGCCAUGGCCCUCCUGGACCCCUCUCAAAACCGCCACUGGAUGCGAUAAGAAUUUUUUCAUACAAACCAUGGGGCAAGCAUCAAGAGCGGAUGGAUGUAAUGAUGAAACUUAAUAUACCUUAUCAGAAGUAUAAAAAUGUAUAUAGAAUGAAUGUCAACCGAUAUGGACACAAAUAACAAAUAGAAGUGUUUAAAUUAUAGCAGUGGCAUUAAAAGGCAACUUACAUGGUUUGCGUUGAUGGAUCCGCGAUGUCAGCUCGCAUAGACCAUCCAUUUCGAAAUGUUCUCUCCCUGUAAGGAGAUAUUGGCAAGUGAGCAACACAUGUUUUCACGCGCAAAAGUAUCUCCUAUCACCAAUAAAAUUGAUCCCAGCGCUUCUUUGGUCAACCAGGGAUUAGUUCGUUUGAGGGAAAAAUAAAUGAUGUGAGCCAGUUCUUGUAAGGACUUGCGUAACUAACCUGAUGUAUUCAAUGGGCUUUAUUUUAUGAGCUCUGUCCCGGGGGCUAGGGCAGGGGCUUUGCAAGAAAAAAGUUCACAUGGGAUAAACAGUGUUUGCCAAUCAAAACCUUCCCUUUAGCCAAACAAUUAUUUUGAAGAAGUGGAAGCUUUGGGGUCACUGUGAACCAUUCUAGUGAAUAUAAGUUAUAUCCACUUACCCUGAGUACCAGAACAACAUAAAUCUUAGCCUGUGUUCCAGACCUCUACUUUCAGGUUAGGGGUCUGGCCCACAGACUACAACCACUGCCAAAAGUACUUGGAACAUCCAACACUUUGCACUGUGCUUUUCUAUUUUCAUUUGUUUUCCCGAAUACUACUACUUCAGCCCCUUUCCCCCAAAAUAAUGUUGAAAAUAUCAUACAGCAUACAAG